UAUGUCUAGUGGCGGACGGGUGAGUAAUGCAUGAGAACGUAUCCUCAAGAGGGGGACAACAUUGGGAAACCGAUGCUAAUACCCCAUAAGCCGGGAGGUAAAAGGAGCAAUCCGCUUGAGGAGCGGUUCAUGUCCUAUCAGCUGGUUGGUGAGGUAACGGCUCACCAAGGCGAAGACGGGUAGCCGGCCUGAGAGGGUGAACGGCCACACUGGAACUGAGAGACGGUCCUUUACUCCUACGGGAGGCAGCAGUGGGGAAUA
rnacentral:rRNA from 1 species